AUCUGUAGCAGUUGUGUAAGUAAGUGUGGCAAAAGAGUCAUGCCAUACUCCACUCCCGCUCAAUAAGUCUCCGGCGUACAGAGCGGUAACAUGACUCUUCAAAUUACUGAGCUUAUGUACACGGAGAAACCCAACCCCUUGGGAGGACGGGUGAUAUGGCUAAAUUGAGAGGA
rnacentral:ribozyme from 1 species